UGGUGAAGAUGCAUACGUGCCACAACCUGUC
rnacentral:piRNA from 1 species